CGCCGGGCAACUAAACAACUACCAGGAUUAAAGAAUUUAACAUACUCAGAAAGACUGCGAAAAUUAAAACUACCAUCUCUAAAUUUCAGACGGGUCCGAGGUGACAUGAUUGAAUUAUAUAAAAUACUGGACGGAAAAUAUGAUAAAGAGGCGGCACAAUUUGUUAAAUUAUGGAAGGAUAUGACUACAAGAACAGGGGUACGCGGCAACAGUCUGAAAAUAUAUCCACAGAGAGCAAGAACAGAAUUAAGGAGAAAUGCUUUUGCUCUAUGAGUGGUGAGAACAUGGAAUACACUACCCGAAAUUAUAGUGACAUCACCAACCACAAAUACAUUUAAGAAUAGACUAGACAAAUACUGGAUGAACCAAACAAUGGUGUACGAAGACUAUAAAUCAACAAUCACCGGAAGUGGAGAAGAUUUAGAUAUAGAGAUUGAUGAAGAGGAGCUUUAGUUCCUGUAUCAGUAAAAGAAC
rnacentral:lncRNA from 1 species